AACGAACGCUGGCGGCAGGCUUAACACAUGCAAGUCGAGCGCCCCGCAAGGGGAGCGGCAGACGGGUGAGUAACGCGUGGGAAUCUACCCAUCUCUACGGAAUAACGCAUGGAAACGUGUGCUAAUACCGUAUACGUCCUUCGGGAGAAAGAUUUAUCGGAGAUGGAUGAGCCCGCGUUGGAUUAGCUAGUUGGUGGGGUAAAGGCCUACCAAGGCGACGAUCCAUAGCUGGUCUGAGAGGAUGAUCAGCCACACUGGGACUGAAACACGGGCCAGACUCCUACGGGAGGCAGCAGUGGGGAAUAUUGGACAAUGGGCGCAAGCCUGAUCCAGCCAUGCCGCGUGAGUGAUGAAGGCCCUAGGGUUGUAAAGCUCUCUCACCGGUGAAGAUAAUGACGGUAACCGGAGAAGAAGCCCCGGCUAACUUCGUGCCAGCAGCCGCCGCCGUAA
rnacentral:rRNA from 1 species